GACGAACGCUGGCGGCGUGCCUAAUACAUGCAAGUAGAACGCACAGUUUAUACCGUAGCUUGCUACACCAUAGACUGUGAGUUGCGAACGGGUGAGUAACGCGUAGGUAACCUGCCUGGUAGCGGGGGAUAACUAUUGGAAACGAUAGCUAAUACCGCAUCAUAUUAAUUAUUGCAUGAUAAUUAAUUGAAAGGUGCAAUUGCACCACUACCAGAUGGACCUGCGUUGUAUUAGCUAGUAGGUGAGGUAACGGCUCACCUAGGCGACGAUACAUAGCCGACCUGAGAGGGUGGUCAGCAACCAUGGGACUGAGACACGGCCCAGACACCUACGGGAGGAAGCAGUAGGGGAGCUUCGGCAAUGGACGAAAGUCUGACCGAGCAACGCCGCGUGAGUGAAGAAGGUCUUCGGAUCGUAAAGCUCUGUUGUAAGAGAAGAACGGGUGUGAGAGUGGAAAGUUCACACUGUGACGGUAUCUUACCAGAAAGGGACGGCUAACUACGUG
rnacentral:rRNA from 1 species